CCAACAUGAAACACACCUCUAUUGCUUCUUUUGCUCUCACUCGCGGUACCAUCAUGUCUCUAUUCUAUCUUGUUCUUGCUCUUGCUCUUGGUCUUGUUCAGCUCCUCAGCCCUCCUAGCCUUAAUUAACUCUCCUCCUCACUUUCGCAGUUCUCUCUCUCUCUCUCUCGCGUACAAAAAACACCACAACGAGCGGAGGGACACACGGCUUAUGACUGUCUUUUGCUAGUUGCCACUUUACUGAUCUAGACUGUUAUAAUGGUCUCAUUGUCAGAGAAUGAAUGGCUGAGAAGACCAAGUCAGACUUCUUCUCUUGCACUUGUCUGUGGAUAAGUUUGUCAAGAACUUGAUUGUGAGGCUAAUGGAGGAUCCAUAUGAAAAGAACUUGACUGAGAGGGAAAGUUAGUCUGGGAUCUCUCUUUGCGGACAAUUUCUUGGAAGUUAGCUGGAUUGGAGGGAGACGCUUCUUAUUCUGCCUUUUUUGUAACGUGUAAAUCUUGUUGUUGACUGGAGUCAAGUAGCUUACAAGUGAAGAGAGACUCAAGGGAGCUAAUCUUUCUAGUUAAAGAAGCUGUCGAUAUUUCGAAUUUGGGGGGGUUGGAAAGUCAUUGAGCACCACAAAUCUUGUUGAUGGAAUCAUCGUCAUUGACGGGAUCAUCGAAGAGGGCCAAAGCACCUGGGAAUGUGACCCAAAUGGCUCAUUGCUUGGUUGAUGGAUGUAAUGCUGACCUUAGCCAAUGUCGAGAUUAUCAUCGCCGCCAUAAAGUCUGUGAGCACCACUCUAAGGCCUCAAAAGUCACAAUUGGGGGUCGUGAGCUACGGUUUUGUCAACAAUGCAGCAGGUUUCAUUCUUUAGGGGAGUUUGAUGAAGGAAAAAGGAGCUGCAGAAAACGUCUUGAUGGCCAUAAUAGGAGGCGAAGGAAGCCUCAGGCAGAACUUUCCAGAAACUCUGGAAUGCUUUUUCCAAGUCAACAAGGUAGUAGUAGGCUUCUGUCAUUUGGUACACCUCAAAUAUUUCCAAGUGCUGUGGUGAGUUCCAGCUGGAGUGGUGUUGUCAAACCUGAGAAUGAUGUGGUGCUGUACUGCCAAUCAAACACAAAUUACAUAGACAGGCAAAACGCGUUCCCAGAGUCGGUUCAUGACUACAAAGGAGUGAACCAGUUUCAAUUCAUUCAAAGCACCCCCCGCACUCUUCCUGAAACUUCCAUCUGCCAACCGCUUCUUGAUCCUGAUUCUGCAUCAGGACAUAAUAAUAGCAGCCAAAAGAUCUUUUCCGAUGGUUUGAAUCAAGUUAUCAAUUCUGAUCGUGCUCUCUCUCUUCUGUCAUCUGCACCCGCCGUAACUAGGGAGAUUGGUUUUAGCCACAUGGUGCAGCCUGACUCCAUUUCCCAGGCACAGUCCUUAGUACACAAUUUGCAGUACGGCAGUCCAGGCCAGUUUCCAUAUGCUCAGGAAAUAGAAAACAAGCCAGUAAUUUCUGAAUCAGAUUCCCGAGUGAGCAACAAUGCCACCCUUCAUUUCCAGGAAAUGUUUCAGAAUGGACCUGAAGAGUCAUCUACAAGUGGUGGAUCUCAGCAGACUCUAACAUUCCUGUGGGAGUAGCUCUCGUUAAUUGCCGUUGCUUGCACUGUGCUGACUGCGUCAAUAAACUGUUGCUGUAAUUCAGCCCCUCUGCAACGAGAAAAACUUCAAUGCAGUUGUUCCCAUCUUAAGUAGUAUAAUUAUCUAAUGGUCGUUGGAGAAAAUGGAAUUGCGUAUCCCAGGAUCCUGUGCUGAAGAUUUACAAUCUCCAAAAGUGGAACUCCAAAUUAUAAUCCUAGUCUGUUGUGAUGCAUAAGCUGAUGUGAUAUGCAGCCGUUGAACUGAAAAUUCUCUCCUCAGCCUCACAGAGUUUGAGAACAAAGUCAUACAACAGUAAUUCUGCCACUUCUGCUAGUGGAUCAUUGUAAUGAAAUAAUGACAUAGGUUAAUUAAAAUCAACUGUGAAAGGAGGUCAGGCUGAGAAUUUCAUCUGCAAAUGCGGUCUGUUUCAUACGCAAUCAUCUGGAGGGACUUUCUUCAUUCUCUGAUAUAUGGGCUAAUUCUAUGUUGAGUUUCUUGAUUAGUUUUAUCUUUGAUGAACAUUUAUUCACAGCAACAAGCUUCUUAUGCAGGCCAUUUACACGGCAGGUCUUGGAGUGGCAACUCGCUUGAUCCCCACUCUUAGUGCAUGAAUUAUCAACUCCAGUACGUUAUCACAAUAUUGGGUUGUUUGCAUGAGAUAAACAUCAUCAUCAUCGAGCAGCGCUGAUUGGUGAUUGCUGUGUUCCAGGACCACAGGAAAUCAGGGAUGUAUAUCUUAGUUAAAGGCGCUGAACUAGUAGUUGUACUUUCUAACUAUAGUUCGUCAAAGGCAGCUCCAACCGAGCCUGGCCUAUAGCACCAUACAAAUAAGAAUAAGUAAACAAACGCAAGAUCUUGUACCAAAUCACGGGAUAGACACAGAGAAUAAAAAGCGAAGCAGGAAGCCAUGCAUAAAGAAAGUCCACAGUCGGCUCAAUCUUUCCUUGGAUAUGUUUUAAUCCACCAACGCAAUUCUGCAUUAAGCAUAUCUCGGAAAAUGGGUCCGAAUCUGGAAUUAAAUAUAAAGAGGAAUAUAUCCAACUACAACUAAUUGAGUAUUAUAUGACUGCAAAGCAGUAAUUAGCUAGGGGACCACUGAUCGAUCAUCAAGAAGAUUCAUUUUUAUCUUAACAACCUCAGUCCAAUAAAUAGUGGAGCUGCCCCCAGUAAAUUGUAUAUAAGUUUCUAAUUUUGUGCUGUAACUCAAAAUGGAGAUCGCCAACCGGAUGCAAGGUGGAGGAGGAGGCAGCCUUCUGAAGAGCAAGCUGGUUAUGUCUUUCUACAGAGCUGCUAAACCUGCACCAUCUAUGAUGCAAUAUGCUACAAAGGUUGAGCCAGAGCCGCGCGCAUCUUCGGCCGCGGUGCAAACAGAGUCUUUCUCACAGCCAGGCGGAGGCUUUCCUAGUUCGGAUGGCUACGUUCACGGCCCUACAGGCAUUGGUGGAGAUGAACAAGUUGACACAAAGGCCACAAGCUACAUUAAUCACGUAAAGGAGCGUCGCAGACUCGAAGAAUUGAGCAUCCUGAACGAAGGCCUUUAUAACUGAUUGGUGAACUGAUCAGGAAAAUACAUGUAGCCUUGCUGAAUUUUUUAUGGUGCAGUAUGGUGUGUCGCGUGAAACUCAGUCACGCGAGUGACUAGUCGACUAGGAAGCAGCAGUCCAAUUUUGUUAUGUUACAAGAACCUUUGAAAUGGAAGUCGUUUCACUUUC